rnacentral:rRNA from 1 species
UGGCUCAGGACGAACGCUGGCGGCGUGCUUAACACAUGCAAGUCGAGCGAUGAAGCUUCUUCGGGAGUGGAUUAGCGGCGGACGGGUGAGUAACACGUGGGUAACCUGCCUCAUAGAGGGGAAUAGCCUUUCGAAAGGAAGAUUAAUACCGCAUAAGAUUGUAGUACCGCAUGGUACAGCAAUUAAAGGAGUAAUCCGCUAUGAGAUGGACCCGCGUCGCAUUAGCUAGUUGGUGAGGUAACGGCUCACCAAGGCGACGAUGCGUAGCCGACCUGAGAGGGUGAUCGGCCACAUUGGGACUGAGACACGGCCCAGACUCCUACGGGAGGCAGCAGUGGGGAAUAUUGCACAAUGGGGGAAACCCUGAUGCAGCAACGCCGCGUGAGUGAUGACGGCCUUCGGGUUGUAAAACUCUGUCUUUGGGGACGAUAAUGGCGGUACCCAAGGAGGAAGCCACGGCUAACUACGUGCCAGCAGCUGC